UAUGCAACAACACAUAUUGUUCCAGCCAUCAAGUCUUUUCUUCCCUCACCAAAACGUGUAGAAGAAGUUGAGAAAGGGAGAGAGAGUUUCCUCCAACUCCAAAUUGUAACUUGAAGAGGUCAAGGGCGAGAUUGAUAAUCUGUUGAGGAGCUUUUGUAUCACAGAAAAUUACUAUCAGGUUGAGCAGCUGCCGAUGGUGAUGAAGUGACGAGCGGGACUCUUUUGUUUUAUUAUGUAUUAAUGAACUCUAGGGUUACAUGUCUUCAUACAUGUAAUCAGAACCUUAUUCCGCUGCGUACUCAGAAGUUUUAUGUUAUUUUGGAUAAGUCGGAGUUAUCCGAAUUUACUAGUUAUUUGAGUCUAUACGACUAAAACUCCGUUAUAUUAUAAAUAUCCAUGGUGUUAACAUUGAUGAAA